GGGGAUGUGGCUUAGUGGUAGAGUGCUUGCUUUGUAUGCAUGAAGCCCUGGGUUUGAUUCCUCAGUACCA
rnacentral:tRNA from 1 species